rnacentral:lncRNA from 1 species
UGUUUUGUGAUUUUUUUAUUUUAUUUUGACUUUGGCUACUAAAAGUGCCUGCAUUUGUGCAUUAAAUUAUGUACACAUGUGAGACUUCUAAUUGAAUAAUUUGUUUGUUUAUUUAUUUUUGUUCAAUUCUUUUUCUUUUAAAUUAGAAAAAUAACACUAUCGCUUCUGCUUUGCCUGCGCAGAUGAUGCAAUCUACAAAUCUACCCACGUGAAAGAUGAUAAGAAAAUAUGGGAAGUCAUAAUCAGGGUCCCUAUUCUUUAUGUUUUCUCAAUUAGGACAUGAUUUCUACAUUUGUAUUAAACAAGUCCUCAAACCUAACCUUUGUUUUGAAAUUAGGUAGGUAACCUUCAUUGAAAUGACUGAAUAUUAAGGAUGACGAAAAUCUUGAAAAGGUCCUCAAGGACCCUUCCCAUAGGAUCAGAGAUCGAAGGAUGAAAAACUCAAAAUACUAACAUAAA